rnacentral:rRNA from 1 species
CACGGGGGGAGCAAGCGUUGUUCGGAAUGACUGGGCGUAAAGGGUGCGUAGGCGGGUCUUUAAGUCAGGGGUGAAAUCCUGGAGCUCAACUCCAGAACUGCCUUUGAUACUGAAGAUCUUGAGUUCGGGAGAGGUGAGUGGAACUGCGAGUGUAGAGGUGAAAUUCGUAGAUAUUCGCAAGAACACCAGUGGCGAAGGCGGCUCACUGGCCCGAUACUGACGCUGAGGCACGAAAGCGUGGGGAGCAAACAGG